CAAUAUUAAACUAAUUUAUACUUUUUGUUUUUCUUACAGAGGUAGGAGCCCCCAGGACGAAUGCGGAUCCAGCAGCACAUUUAAAGUUAAGUAUAUUUUUAUUUGAAGUGACCCAUUCUUAGACUGUCAUCAAUAUUAAACUAAUUUAUACUUUUUGUUUUUCUUACAGAGGUAGGAGCCCCCAGGACGAAUGUGGAUCCAGCAGCACAUUUUAAGUUAAGUAUAUUUUUAUUUAAAGUGACCCAUAGACUGUUAUCAAUAUUAAACUAAUUUAUACUUUUUGUUUUUCUUACAGAGGUAGGAGCCCCCAGGACGAAUGCCGAUCCAGCAGCACAUUUUAAGUUAAGUAUAUUUUUAUUUAAAGUGACCCAUAGACUGUUAUCAAUAUUAAACUAAUUUAUACUUUUUGUUUUUCUUACAGAGGUAGGAGCCCCCAGGACGAAUGCGGAUCCAGCAGCACAUUUUAAGUUAAGUAUAUUUUUAUUUGAAGUGACCCAUUCAUAGACUGUCAUCAAUAUUAAACUAAUUUAUACUUUUUGUUUUUCUUACAGAGGUAGGAGCCCCCAGGACGAAUGCAGAUCCAGCAGUGCAUUUUAAGUUAAGUAUAUUUUUAUUUGAAGUGACCCAUUCAUAGA